CCCACCGUAGACUCCUGACUAGCCAAGUUGGCAGCCAGCGCGAAAGCUGACGUCGAGCAGAAGGAGAAAAGAACGAUUAUUUACGACUUCUGAGGCGGCAAGCCGUCGUCGAAUGCUACGUAACGUUGGCACCUCUACCUCCUGCCCGUCAUCUUUGAUCUUGUUUUAACGUCGUUCGCAGCCCCCCGAUAUCGAGAGUACAGGCUUCGCAAUACUCUCAAAGUGAACUCGACUACGCUCGUAUGUCGUCUGCUUCGCGACCAGAAGCCAACUCUUUUGCUUUGCGUGAUUGGCUACCUCGCUGCCGUAGCAGACGAACAUUGCGUAUACGCCGCGCGCCAUCUCCCCACCGCCGUCUGUUCCUCGCUGCCCAAGUGGAAGACGGAUGACCAGACGGAGGAGUAGCUCACUGCAGCCGAGCAGACACGCCUACCACGCGAAGCUUUAUCAAAAUGUGCGAAUUUCGGCACCUAAAUGGUCCUGGUGCAGACAAAAAAACCGAUCUGGCGCAACAGCAAGCACUUUUGGCACAGAGUUCAGCGCAGGGGUGCCUACCAUGUCCCAUGCAAAUAAUGAGACGGGUUUGCGCGAGCCUUACCCUGCAAGCGCGGCCAAGAAAAGACGCGAAGCCCCUCCACACCACGAUGCACAAAUACGGCGGGGUUCGUCGAUACGGCGCAGAGAAGGCACCACAGACAGAUCGUCAACCAAAGCGCGUUUAGUAAAUGUAACACAGUGCGACAGUCACGGCUUGUGGGCAACGGCUAACCGCAAGAACGAUCGAGUACGCGCGCCUGCACUGAACAUGACAUCAUGCAAUAUACGCAUGUCAUGCCAUGCACAUUAGGGAGCUUUCGCAUAGGAGCCGCAAGGACUUUGUGGCCGCAAAGAAAAAUAGCGUUAGCGUCACUGCGCAUGAGCGAGAUACAAAUAGUUUCGCAUAAUCGAACAUGGCGGCAUCCAUCGAGGUGGCGGCUCUCGCUGUGUACCACAUUCGCUAAUACCAUUCUGAACUAUGUACCACGUGAGAUUCUGAUCGCAGCGGCAAUUUUUCGGAGCCCCGCUAUCGCCCAUAAUCAUUGAAAAAGUAUAUCUUUAAUCCUAGAAUGUGACAUCCUCCUUCGGCAAAUUCUGCGGUACCACGCAGGUUCGAUGAACACCGAAAUAAAACGCCAGCAAGACGGUGCAGCGGCACUCCAUUGCACGUCCGUCAGAGAAAAACGGGCCCAUAGCUUCUCACUAUACAUUGUUGUGUGCCAAGAUACGACCGAAAGGGUGAAAUUUUGCAUGCGAGUGUAAAGUGAGAAACUCAUUAAACGAGCUUCUGGUUCAUUCUGUGAAGAUGAUAGCAUGCCGUUCGCUUUGAUUUCAGUUUUGCUAGCUGCGUAGCAUCGAGGGAUGGAGCGUUGCACUUUUAUGCAUGCUCUGGGGCAUGGGUCGGCGCAAGUUUCGGCUAAAAUGACAUUUUGGCGCAGGAUGGCGCAACGGGUCACUCUCAGCGCAGUUUGACGCAAUUGGCGCAGCCGUUCCAUCACUGCAAGCAGGCAGCCUUCAGAAAAAAACCUUAUCUCGAAACUGUUUCCGAUUUUUCUAACCGAAUACACCCGAAUCGAUUAAGUGCGUCUAUCAAACAUAUGCGGAACCGAUCUCCAUGGAAUUCGUGGUACUUCAGAGUCAAUUAGGUUCGCGAAGUGCACUCGUGUAGAACAUGUAACAUGCGGAGCAGAUAGGCGCCGAUGUGUUAGAGAAUGGCAUGCCGAGGGAAGGGAAAUCAACGCAACAAUCUACGGCACAGGAUCAGCUGCUGCGGCGACCAUGCGCAUGGAUCACGACGGCCGAAUCCCGAUGGGCGUGCAAAAAAAAAAAAAGCACUCGCGUGCAGCAGCUGCUUUAUGUGCACGUUAACCGCUUGCUUAAUUGUCUCGCUGUUAAAGAGUUUUAGAAGUGGUGUGCACAAGCCACUUAUAGCGUACGCAAAAAAAAGUCAGAACUUUUGUCUUCUGUACUCCAGGCCGCUUGCGUCCCGCAAAGCUUUGGCGGCCUUAUCUAAAACUCUCUAGUACCCUCAAUUCUGAUUUUAAAAAGUUAAAAUUCUUAGUUGCGGAAUUUUUUUAUCACGAUUACUGCAGACAAUACUUUAAGCGCUUAUUUAUACAGAAUCUCCUCCAUUUCCUGCAGAAGCGAAGCUUAACAAAGUUAUGUAUAAGAAAAACCGAAAGUGCAAACGAAAGGAAAAUUAAAACUGAAAGAGAUUGAACAGAAAAAGAAAGCGUCAUCGACGAUAACCGUUUUCCUGGUAUGUCUAUUGUAAGUCACGGCCAACUUAGUGGAACAACUACACGGGCUGUUGUUGUGCCGACAGAAGUUAUCUACGCACUCCAAAGGGCGUAACGUACGUCGUGUCAACGUAUGACGCGGCCGAUGGCCAAAGCGAAAGAAUCUGGGCCACACCUGUUGUCCGCACACGUACUGGCGCGCUCUCCUCUCCCGCGUGUCGCAUAGAUUGACCAAUAUCCCGUGCUUUCUUUGUUUAUUCUGUUUCCGCUUAUAGCCGCCGAUUCUGAAGUAAUAUCUUUCCGCUCAGACAACGGCUCUCUCUCUCUCUCACACAUUGUCCCCGCUGCCCUACUUUUGAUAGGAAACAACCACUCCCUCGUGUGCUCGGUUUGGAUGCACACAGCCGCAUCCGGGGGAGCUCACUUCCGAAAAAAGAAUUAAAACUCGUAACCAUGACCUAGUUCGGCUCCGCGUUCAUUUAACGACACUGUCGCGUUAUUUUGCCCGUAUUUCUUGCUCCCAGGCCUAUAGGAACACUCCUUUCCCUCUCUCUCUCUCCUGAAUUCCACCCACUACUUCUCUAAAGAAAAUACAAAUGCCGAAAAGUAAUGCGCGUUCCUUCGUGAAACGUACGUGCCACAAUAACGAAAGUGUCAGCCGAAAGAAACAGAAAGAUACACAAACAAACAAAAAAAAACGGGAGAAAGAAUAAACAGAGCCAAACAGAUACAGGAUUGUGGCGUAAAUAAGUCUCGAGAUGGAAGGAAGCGAUACGCAGAGAAAAGAACAGAUUUCCUGUCUUCUGGGUCACGUCAUUCAGAGGCGACGACGACGACGAAGCGGCAGCAGGCAGCCACCAAAGAUCGCUAACAGGUCAAGAACUCACGACGGCACACGGUCUCGCGCGCGACUUCCGAUUUUCGUUUUCGCAGUUCGAUUUUCUUUUUUUUUUCUUUCGCCUUCUCCCGAACUCCACGAGCUGCGUAGGAAAGUUCUAGCUUCCAUCCGGGUUCGCGUAACCUUAACCCAUAUUCCACAGUGAGCCCGAAAGAAAAGAGCACAGAAAUGGCGUCCGCCAGUACCUCCUUUCCGCCGACGCUCGCCCCACUUUUGGUUUCUUUUCGGCGCCGUACUCCAUCUAUCACGACACUCUUUCCCUCGGCUUUCGUUUGCUCUCUCGCUUUCGUGUCGCUCUCUGCUAGUAGAGAAGACCAACCCGUGCUCUUGCAAUUGUCGAGUUCCUGUUUGUUGUUUGUGGGUUCGGAAACUCUCGCCAUUUUUUACCGUCCUCUCCCCUUCGUCGCCAUAUUUUUUUGACGUUGUGUAUUGACGCCUUCCCCUUUCUCUCUCUUGUUUGCUCAUCGUCUGUUUUUCAUCCCCCCCCCCUCCCCAUCGUCGUCGUCUGCACCGGAACCCCCUCCGCAUAGCGGAAGUCUGACGGGACUGCACAGGCGCUCUCCUGUAGUCAUACACGUGCGGCACCUCGGGCGCUUGUUUACUUUGUUUACUAGAGGAGGCCACCCCUCACCCACGAGACACUCCCCCGUCACCUUCUCAACGUACCCCACCCCGAACGUUUUUUGAAAGAAUUUACGCUCCCUUCCAGCUCUCUGCUCUGGUCCUUCGCGAAGUAUACGACUUGCCCCUCCUCACGGCACACCCCACACUUGGAUUUACUUGUUUGUCGCGUCUUUCGGUAGCAGACGAAAAAAAAGGCAGUGGGUACGUUUCGUCUGCUACUCUCUGCUAGCGUUUGCACUUUUCUAUUUGGCAUAUAUUGAAAAUACU